rnacentral:snRNA from 1 species
CUCUUUCUUGGGAAACAAGUUCUU